UGAAACAUCUAAAAGAAGAAAGAAUGGCCAAUAUCACCACCAAAGCUCUCAACCUAAUCAACAGCCCUCCCCGAAGACAUGCUUAGCGCCAAAAACAACACACACUAACACCGAAUCAUACAAAAAUAGCUAGUGCUCUUGAGAUGAGUAUAUGCUUGAUGAUGAUGGAGAUCCCUGCUUUAUUAUUUCCUUCGAUUGCAUGAUUGUGAAGAAGCUGUAAAAUACAUGUUAUAUUUAUAUAUUUUAAGUUUCUGUUAUUAGAAAGAUAUAUGUAUUCUUAUAAGAUGUAAAAAAUUAAAUCAUACUUAAUUAAUCACGAGCAUUUUAUAACUAUGUCAAGUUACUCCUUA